rnacentral:tRNA from 1 species
UCCCUAGUAGCUCAGUUGGUAAAGAAUCUGCCUGUAAUUCAGAAGACCCCAGUUCAAUUCCUGGGUUGGGAA